rnacentral:rRNA from 1 species
UACAGAGGUCUCGAGCGUUAGGCGGAAUCACUGGGCUUAAAGCGCGUGUAGGCGGAUCGGUAAGUACCUUGUGAAAAUCCCACAGCUUAACUGUGGAACUGCUUGGUAUACUGCCAGUCUUGAGCCAGCUAGGGGGCUACCGGAACAAAUGGUGGAGCGGUGAAAUGCGUAGAUAUCAUUUGGAACGCCAAUGGUGAAAACAGGUAGCUGGGGCUGUGCUGACGCUCAUGGACGAAAAGCGUGGGGGGAUCAAAACGGGG